rnacentral:rRNA from 1 species
GCAUCGAUGAAGAACGCAGCAAAAUGCGAAAAGUAAUGUGCAUUGCAGUACGUGAAUCAUCGAGUCUUUGAACGCAACUUGCACUCUAGGUUUGCCUAGAGUAUGCCUAUUUGAGUAUUGGUUACACACCACUCGAAUCUCGUGAGAGAUUUGGAUCUGCUGAGUCGUGCACACACACCACGUGUGUGCUGACUUGAAUUGGACUGAUCGGGCCUAUGCGCGCCGCGCCUGGCACUGACGUGAUAGUGUUGUCUUGCUUCACCUCGUCAGGCUCUUUCUUCUUUUCCCGCUUGGGAGGAGACCAGACGCGUGCUUCAGCAUAGUGUCACCAAUCACACACCUUACCACAAUAUUUCAAUCUCAAAUUAGGUAGGACUACCCGCUGAAUUUAAGCAUAUCAAUAAGCGGAGGA